CAGAUGUACUUAGUGAGGCUGGUGCACCAUGUGGGAUAAAAUCAGUCUGUCUUUAUGGUGGAACUAAAAAGGAACCCCAAAUAUCUGCCCUUAAAUCUGGAGUGGAUAUAGUCAUAGGAACUCCUGGUCGUAUG